AAACCUGGGUGAGAUGCUUCAUUUUGGCGAGGACGUCGAGGCGGCCGGACAUGCCGGAGGCCUGAUUGUUGAGCCAGAGGGUCUGAAUCCCGGAUUUGGCCAUGGACCAGGGGAGCCAGCCGGUGAUGUUGUUGUAGGACAAUCGAAGGAUCUGGAAGCCAGGGAGGGAGGCGAAGAUGUCGGGGAUCUGGCCGUAGACGUUGGAGCGGCGGGCGGUGAAGCUUUUGAGGGAGGUGGAGUCCUUGAGGGAGGCGGGGAUGGACCAGGGGGCGAGGCGGGUGUUGUUGCUGAUGCUGACGGUCUGGAGGCUGGUGAGGCCGGAGAGGAAGCCGUGGGGGACGGACUCGAAGCCGUUGUCGUCGAGGUAGACUUCCUCGAGGGAUUUGAGGCCAGAGAGGUUGGGGACGGGGCCGGAGAGGAGGUUCUUCUGGAGGCUGAGGGAGCGGAGAUUCGAGAGGCGGCUGAUUUCGGGGGCAAUGGUGCCGGAGAGGGACUGGGCGGAGAUGUCGAUGGAGCUGACGCGGUUGGAGGUGUCGCAGCUCACACCCUGCCAGUCGCAGUAGCCAGCGCCGGUCCAGGAGGAUGGGGCCGGGGUCAGGGACUGAGCGAGCUUGGACAUGGCUUCACCGUCGGGGGCCGCGGAGGAGGCCGAGGCGGCAGCGAGGAGGAGGAGGAGGAGGAGGAGGAGGGGAAUUGGGGGUGUUGGCCUCCAUCGGAGCAUGGUGGGCGGUGGUGGCCGGGGCGGGGACUCUCUUCCGAUCCCUCCUGUGGCAUGUACCGAAGAGAGAGAGAGAGGGAAGGGUGGAGAGAGAGUGGAAAAAUAAUAGGAGGAGGGAGAAUGCUGAGGAGUAGGAAGAAUGGUCGGGACGACGUUAACUGCUCAGUGAGUCGGCGCCCUCGGUGCUCGGCCAUGGAUUCGAACGGAGGGGUGGAAACGCCGACGGACAUCCGCCGAGAAAUAGCUUCACUAGAGCAGGCCAAGGCGAAAAUCGAGAAUCGUAUAUCAGAGCUGCAAGCUAAGCUCGGCAGUUGUAGCUCGGAAAACAGCGGCGUGGAGAUCAAUUCAUGUGCUCUGCCGCCCGUGGAAAGUAAUAUCGAUGGUCAAUUGUCGCCCGAUAUGAUACACAGAUACAGUCGCCAUCUGCUGCUCCCUUCAUUUGGGGUUGAAGCGCAGGCAAAUUUGUUGAAGUCCUCCGUGUUAGUUAUUGGCGCCGGCGGCUUGGGUUCACCUGCUCUGCUUUACCUUGCAGCAUGCGGUGUUGGACGACUGGGCAUCGUUGAUCAUGAUGUGGUGGAGCUUAAUAAUCUACACAGACAGAUAAUUCAUACUGAAUCAUAUAUUGGAAGAUCGAAAGUAGAGUCUGCUGCUGCUGCAUGUCGCGCGAUUAACUCUUCUGUACAAAUCGAAGAGCACAAGGAAGCAUUCCGAACAUCAAAUGCCUUAGAGAUUAUGAGAAAGUAUGAUAUUGUUGUUGAUGCAACUGACAAUGUACCUAGUCGUUACAUGAUUAGCGAUUGCUGUGUUGUAUUGGGAAAGCCUCUUAUAUCUGGAGCUGCACUCGGGCUAGAAGGACAGCUUACUGUUUACAAUUACAAUGGCGGCCCAUGCUAUCGGUGCCUAUUUCCUGUUCCUCCUCCCACAACAGCUUGCCAGAGAUGUGCAGAUAGUGGAGUUCUUGGAGUAGUUCCGGGGAUUAUUGGGUGCCUUCAGGCACUGGAGGCCAUAAAAGUUGCAGCGGCAGUUGGUGAACCUCUUUCAGGAAGGAUGCUUCUCUUCGAUUCACUUUCUGCUCGAACUCGUGUUGUCAAAUUACGAGGGAGGUCAUUACAAUGUGAGGCCUGUGGAGAAAAUGCAACAUUAAAUGAAGUAAAGUUCCGUCAUUUCGACUACGAAAAUUUCACUCAAUACCCUCUAUCCACGUCCCCCUUAAAGUUAAACCUGCUUCCGGAUGAAGCCAGAAUAACAAGCAUGGAGUACAACGACAGAAAAAUGGAAGGCGAGUCACAUGUAUUGCUAGACGUGAGACCAGAACAUCACUACAAGAUUGUCUCCCUCCCGAACUCCUUGAACAUUCCGCUAACGGAUUUGGAGAAAAGGCUUCCCGAAAUAGCCACAGCCUUGGCGCGAGGUAAUGGAAGCGAUGAUCCGUCUUUGUAUGUUGUGUGUAGACGCGGAAAUGAUUCGCAGAUUGCCGUCGAAUGCCUCCGUAAGAUGGGGUAUCCCUCGGCUAAGGAUAUUGUUGGAGGGCUCGAGUCGUGGGCGAACGACGUCGAUGGAAACUUCCCAAUCUACUAAUGCCUGGGAGUGGAGGGGAGAGGAGGGCUACUUUGUUGAAUGUUCAGGAUCAUAUUUCGCGUGAUAAUUUUGUGGCCCAUCACUACCCCGUACCCAAUGCUGGGAGUCAUCGUAGCCGUUAGAUCAUUCCUCGUUCCAUCGACGGUCUCCAAUUUGCGCACGUGGAGAUCGCUAACCUGCGCAGUCAUAUGAUAAACACACGGCGCAGCGGCGGGAAAGAAUAAACGGUCGCCGUCGACGGCCGGAGGGAAACCGACGACGCGACAUUUAAAGCUGUAGCUCGUCUUCUCAGGCGAAGGAGAUGAAAAUGAAGCCGGAAAUAGGUUCGUCGUGCGGCGGUACGGUCCGAACCACUUGUUCUGCAUGAAGCGGUGCUUCCGCCACGGCGGCAGGUGGAGGCCGCUGCUCUUCAACGACCGCCUCGCCGAGUCGCUAGCUAAUUUCAAAAUCUGCUUCAAAUCGUCGCUCGCUCCGACGAAGAUUCUCGGUAAGUGCUGCAGCAGACACUCGUACGAAUUCGUCGGCCUCGCGAUCUCAAACUCCGCCGCGAAAUCUAAAUCGAUGAAAUACCUUGCGGAAUAUUCCGUCCGAACAACAUCAAUGAAUUCGUGCUCGCCGGCGGCGAGUCCGCCGCAGCUCUGCCACUUCGUCUUACAAAUCGCUGCAUUCCAACCGCAAUUCCUAAGGUACGCCAUUACAUUUCUUCUCAUAAUCUGUUCAUUCGAUUUCAAGCACGAAAACACCUGCACAGCUCUCAAAACGCAAUCCCUAACCUGUUUUUUAAACACAUCUCCUUCAUCCAACAGAAUCCGUUCAAUCAAAUCAACAUUCACACAAUUCAACUCGCAAAUCGACGGAUCGCGCUCGCAAUCCGACUCGCCUAUCUCCGGUGUCUCAUCUCCUGCCUCCUCCACUCCGAAUCCGAAGAAAGGAUCCGAAAGGCUAGAGGAUGCAUCAAAGUCAUCGUCCGCCUGUCCGCUGUGUUCGCUCCCGCUGCUGAAGACGUCCGAUCCACACCGAUCUAAACCGACAAUCCUCGCCCUCGCCUCAUCGUCCAACAGGUCAGUUGCUCUCUUCGUCCUCACAAAUCCAGAAAUCAUUAUUAUUUUUUCCCUCCGCUUUUUCCAGUAAGUAUCUCAGAUCAAAAUUCAUUCAUUAUAAGCGCGCCUAAACUUCCCUGGAUUCGCUGAGUCGAAGAAUUCUCCAACGAAUAUUCCAUAGAAACUCCA